rnacentral:misc_RNA from 1 species
AUAGUUGCUGAUAUUACUUUUGAAGCUAAAUACACAUCUGCUAAUCACUUAUGUCAUGUAAAACAAAUUAGAAGAGCCUAUCAUGUGCUAUAAUAACUCAAGAGGGAGAGUGGUGUUACAAAAACGUUAUUGCAUAGUUCAGAAAAUAUUCUCAUAUGUUUUAUAUGCAAAUUAAUGAGCAUAUUCAGUAAGUCAUCAAAACUUUUUGUUGUUUACGUUGGCUCUAUGUUUCUACAAUGGACCACGGACAUGCUCAUUUUCCAGUUGAAAGAGAACUUUUGAAUUGAGGUACCAUCAUAUAUGUGUGUGUUAUUAUAUGAACUCGAUUAGGAUAUUAUAUGAUCUACAUAUCUGUAUUUUACUAUGUGAUCA